rnacentral:rRNA from 1 species
GACAGAGGGUGCAAACGUUGCUCGGAAUUACUGGGCGUAAAGCGCGUGUAGGCGGACUGGCGCGUCGGCUGUGAAAUCCCCAGGCUCAACCUGGGAACUGCAUUCGAAACUGCCAGCCUUGAGUGGUGGAGAGGGAAGUGGAAUUCCUGGUGUAGAGGUGAAAUGCGUAGAGAUCAGGAAGAACAUCGGUGGCGAAGGCGCUCUGCUGGACCAUAACUGACACUCAGGGACGAAAGCUAGGGGAGCGAAUGGG